rnacentral:rRNA from 1 species
UAGGGAAUCUUCGGCAAUGGACGAAAGUCUGACCGAGCAACGCCGCGUGAGUGAAGAAGGUUUUCGGAUCGUAAAACUCUGUUGUUAGAGAAGAACAAGGACGUUAGUAACUGAACGUCCCCUGACGGUAUCUAACCAGAAAGCCACGGCUAACUACGUGCCAGCAGCCGCGGUAAUACGUAGGUGGCAAGCGUUGUCCGGAUUUAUUGGGCGUAAAGCGAGCGCAGGCGGUUUCUUAAGUCUGAUGUGAAAGCCCCCGGCUCAACCGGGGAGGGUCAUUGGAAACUGGGAGACUUGAGUGCAGAAGAGGAGAGUGGAAUUCCAUGUGUAGCGGUGAAAUGCGUAGAUAUAUGGAGGAAAACCAGUGGCGAAGGCGGCUCUCUGGUCUGUAACAGACGCUGAGGCUCGAGAGCGUGGGGAGCAAACAGG